UAAAAAUCAGAAUAACAGCAAAGGGCUGUGAGUGAAUUGGAAUGUGUGUACUCUCAGCAACAAUUAGGAAGAUAACAAGUAAUCGUGAAGAAGAAAAUACUUUUACUCCAAUAUAAAUCCUUAAUUUCUGAAAGCAUGUCACGAGAAAGAGAAGCAGCAAAAAAGACAAUUGCCAAGCAAGAUGAGUCACAAACCUUUGGCAACAGAAG
rnacentral:misc_RNA from 1 species